rnacentral:lncRNA from 1 species
GGAAACCCCGGAACUAGAACUGGUGUAAGAUUUCUCUUGGUUUUUGUGUUGUUGUUGUUGUUUUGUUGUUGUUUUGAGACAGAGUCUCGCUCUGUCGCCCAAGCUGGAGUGCAGUGGCGCGAUCUCGGUUCACUGCAACCUCCGCCUCCCGGGUUCAAGUGAUUCUACUGCCCAGCCUCCCUAGUAGCUGGGAUUACAGGCGCGCGACACCACGCCUGACUAAUUUUUGUUUUUUUGUUUUUGUUUUUUUUUUAGAUGGAGUCUCACUCUGUCGCCCAGGCUGGAGUGUAGUAGCGCAAUCUUGGCUCACUGCAACCUCGGACUCCCAGGUUCAAGAGAUUCUCCUGCAUCAGCCUCCCAAGUAGCUGGGACUACAGAUCUCUUCAACUACCUGUGAAAACUGAUGUGAUGAAAAGGGGAAUUUGAAGGAGCCAUUCCAGAAGACAGGGCGAAAACUGAAGUGCAAUCAGGGCCAAGAAAAACAGAAAUAGCAGGACCUGGAGUUGCAUAGGUUGAAUAGUUGAAUAGGCUGCUCUCCUCAGCUGGCAGGAAACCUGGCAGCCUCCUGGUGCCCAAGGACUGAAAACCUUAGAAGCACCUGGAGUUGGCAGCCUUGGCAUGGUCAGGUUGGCACCUCUGGAGGUGCCCAGGCUUCCCUGGCAGCAUUGUGAGCAGUGGAUGGUGUUGAAGGGCAGCCAGAGGAGGAAUGGAACACAUGCUCCUUGCUAACCACACGGACAAGGCCACGUUCACAGGUACACAAAGGCAACGCAGUUGCUCAGGUGCUUCGGUAUCACAGCCAAGACCCCUUCGGGGGAAGCUAGUCGGAUACUGGGACCCACAUUCCAGACUACUGAGCCGCGGUCGCGCCCUCGGCUCCGUUUCUGCUCCCUCCACCCCACGAGGACGGGGGUGGAAGGCCACCUUCGAUGGGUGCAUCCUCCACGAUGACCUGCUAACAAAGGUGCAUGGAUUUCAGAGUCUGAUUGGCCUACAACAGCAUUUGGCUUGUGGAGACAGUGGUUCCCUGAUGAAAAACUGCCAUGAUGGGAAUAGAAACAAUCAGAGGAAACUUCCGUGAGUUCCCAGGACACAUCCACCCACCUCCUCCACGUGUAACCACCACCUCUACCUUCCCCUCUGGUGCUGUGGAUGAGCCAUCCGUGCUCCUGGCAAAGGCCCACCUGCCACUUGGGCACAGGAACCCAUCCAUCCCUCCUUACCUCUGGUAACUCUCCCUCUCUCUCUCCUGCAUCCUUCAUAUUCUCUGGGUUGUAUUCUCUUCCAGCCCCCACCCCCUGCCCACCUCCAGCAUGUAAAAGUGCUGUUAUUGUUUCCACUUUAAAACAAACCCUAAAAAUAAGUAAAUAAAAUAAACCCUACCCUGA